rnacentral:lncRNA from 1 species
CUUACUCAUCACUAUAUUGCUAUUUCACUGAAUGUUUCAACCAAGUUGCACCAUAGUCAGCUUUCUGCAGAGGGACUGAUGGCAUACUCAAAACACCUGCUCCGUAACAAUACUUCAUCUUAUCCAGUACAGGCUUGUGUAUAACUUCACCCCUGUGGUUUCCGCAAAACUCUAAUGAGGAUGUAACUCCAAGCUGUGGCAUCAUAAUUGAGUGGCAGGCUUCCAAAAACAUUACACCCUUUUCACCUAUUCACUGCAUCUGGCACCGAGUGACUUCUGGCUUUUCCCCACAGUCAAAA